rnacentral:rRNA from 1 species
ACCGUGCAAAGGUAGCAUAAUCAUUUGCCUAUUAAUUGUAGGCUAGCAUGAAAGGACAAACGAAAAUAUCCCUGUCUCCUUUAAGCCAGUAAAAAUUUAUCUUUAAGUGAAGAAGCUUAAAUAAUUAUGCAGGACAAGAAGACCCUAUAGAGCUUUACCUAAACAUUACAUUAUAGGUAAUUAAGGGUUCGGUUGGGGCGACCUGGGGACAUAAAUCACCCCUUAAAAUUUAGACAGACACGUCAUUAAAAAGAUCCUAAACUAAGAUCAAUGAAUCAAGCUACCUUAGGGAUAACAGGCUAAUCCUCUUAGAGAGCCCUUAUCGACAAGAGGGG